rnacentral:rRNA from 1 species
UAGGUAUUAACUCACACCCUUUCCUCCUGACUGAAAGUGCUUUACAACCCGAAGGCCUUCUUCACACACGCGGCAUGGCUGCAUCAGGCUUUCGCCCAUUGUGCAAUAUUCCCCACUGCUGCCUCCCGUAGGAGUCUGGACCGUGUCUCAGUUCCAGUGUGGCUGAUCAUCCUCUCAAACCAGCUAGGGAUCGUUGCCUUGGUGAGCCAUUACCUCACCAACUAGCUAAUCCCACUUGGGCCAAUCUAAAGGCGAGAGCCGAAGCCCCCUUUGGUCCGUAGACAUUAUGCGGUAUUAGCAGUCGUUUCCAACUGUUGUCCCCCACCUCAAGGCAUGUUCCCAAGCAUUACUCACCCGUCCGCCGCUCGUCAGCAAAGUAGCAAGCUACUUUCUGUUACCGCUCGACUUGCAUGUGUUAG